rnacentral:rRNA from 1 species
CAGUAGCCGCGGGAAUGCAGAGGAUACAAGCGUUAUCCGGAAUGAUUGGGCGUAAAGCGUCUGUAGGUGGCUUUUCAAGUCCGCCGUCAAAUCCCAGGGCUCAACCCUGGACAGGCGGUGGAAACUACCAAGCUGGAGUACGGUAGAGGCAGAGGGAAUUUCCGGUGGAGCGGUGAAAUGCGUUGAGAUCGGAAGGAACACCAACGGCGAAAGCACUCUGCUGGGCCGACACUGACACUGAGAGACGAAAGCUAGGGGAGCAAAUGGGAUUGGAUACCCCGGUAGUCCCUGUCUCUUAUAC